GACGAACGCUGGCGGCGUGCUUAACACAUGCAAGUCGAACGGAAAGGCCCUGCUUUUGUGGGGUGCUCGAGUGGCGAACGGGUGAGUAACACGUGAGUAACCUGCCCUUGACUUUGGGAUAACUUCAGGAAACUGGGGCUAAUACCGGAUAGGAGCUCCUGCUGCAUGGUGGGGGUUGGAAAGUUUCGGCGGUUGGGGAUGGACUCGCGGCUUAUCAGCUUGUUGGUGGGGUAGUGGCUUACCAAGGCUUUGACGGGUAGCCGGCCUGAGAGGGUGACCGGCCACAUUGGGACUGAGAUACGGCCCAGACUCCUACGGGAGGCAGCAGUGGGGAAUAUUGCACAAUGGGCGGAAGCCUGAUGCAGCAACGCCGCGUGCGGGAUGACGGCCUUCGGGUUGUAAACCGCUUUCGCCUGUGACGAAGCGUGAGUGACGGUAAUGGGUAAAGAAGCACCGGCUAACUACGUGCCAGCAGCCGCGGUGAUACGUGGGGUGCGAGCGUUGUCCGGAUUUAUUGGGCGUAAAGGGCUCGUAGGUGGUUGAUCGCGUCGGAAGUGUAAUCUUGGGGCUUAACCCUGAGCGUGCUUUCGAUACGGGUUGACUUGAGGAAGGUAGGGGAGAAUGGAAUUCCUGGUGGAGCGGUGGAAUGCGCAGAUAUCAGGAGGAACACCAGUGGCGAAGGCGGUUCUCUGGGCCUUUCCUGACGCUGAGGAGCGAAAGCGUGGGGAGCGAACAGGCUUAGAUACCCUGGUAGUCCACGCUGUAAACGGUGGGUACUAGGUGUGGGGUCCAUUCCACGGGUUCCGUGCCGUAGCUAACGCUUUAAGUACCCCGCCUGGGGAGUACGGCCGCAAGGCUAAAACUCAAAGGAAUUGACGGGGCCCCGCACAAGCGGCGGAGCAUGCGGAUUAAUUCGAUGCAACGCGUAGAACCUUACCUGGGUUUGACAUGGAUCGGGAGUGCUCAGAGAUGGGUGUGCCUCUUUUGGGGUCGGUUCACAGGUGGUGCAUGCCUGUCGUCAGCUCGUGUCGUGAGAUGUUGGGUUAAGUCCCGCAACGAGCGCAACCCUUGUUCACUGUUGCCAGCACGUUAUGGUGGGGACUCAGUGGAGACCGCCGGGGUCAACUCGGAGGAAGGUGGGGAUGACGUCAAGUCCUCAUGCCCCUUAUGUCCAGGGCUUCACGCAUGCUACAAUGGCUGGUACAGAGAGUGGCGAGCCUGUGAGGGUGAGCGAAUCUCGGAAAGCCGGUCUCAGUUCGGAUUGGGGUCUGCAACUCGACCUCAUGAAGUCGGAGUCGCUAGUAAUCGCAGAUCAGCAACGCUGCGGUGAAUACGUUCCCGGG
rnacentral:rRNA from 1 species